GCAAAGAUAGCUUAAACUAAAGCAAAGCACUGAAAAUACUUUCAUAAAGAUUUAAACUCUUUUCUUAGCA
rnacentral:tRNA from 1 species